rnacentral:tRNA from 1 species
AUCGUUAUAGCAUAUAUUAAUGUGUCUGUUUUAAGGUCAGGAGAAUUAAAUGGUU